AGAGUGACAGGGGAACACAGUGGGCAGGGAGCCCCAUGGGCGGAAGAAGAAAAUGAAAUGUGGCCUAAAUUCUGCCAGAUGUAGUGGGAAACAGGGAAAGGGAUCACUGUUUAGGCCCAGAGAGAGGAGGAAGCCCUGAAAACCUGUGCUGGGCAUAGAAUCCAAGCUCUGCCUUUGGAGCCGGGUGCUGGGAAUGUGGCCCUUUGGUCACAUUUGGUCGCAGAGCCGUCAGCUGCAUUUCACCUGGCCACCCCGCGCGUAGUCUGCUCUGAAAUGACAGUGCUCUAAAGUGAGGCCAGAAGGGCGGGUGCUGUGGCUCAGCAACAGCGAGGGACCAGGGCUCACAGGCCUGGAGAACGGAACGUGUGUCAGCCAGAGAUGCUCAUUAGGGAGGCGGACUGUUACUAGAGGAGAGGAGGUCAUCAGUGGGUAGAACUCAUUAUCUGGGUAGAGGCAUAAGUGCAGGAAGGGGCCUGGCUUCAGUGAAUGAGCAGAGUAUCCAGACAUAGAAGGGUAACUGGAAACCUGGACCUGUCUUCCUCUACAGGACUGUGAAGUAUUUCCGAGUGGUGCUGACCGUGGGUGGAGUCAGCAUCGCGGAAGAACUACAGUGGAGGGAAUGACGCCCCCCAACUCAGGAGUUCACCAGCAAACAGGAGGCACGGAACACAAAGCAGCUAAAUCGUGGGGCAGCAAGUGUCACAGGAGACAGGGGUUACAACGGGAGUGUGUGAUCACACCUACGGCCAGGCAGACCCUUCACCCUCCACAGGCACCCAUGAGGCUGCCCUGUCCACUGGAAUAACUCAUGUGUGAGGGGAAAUCCCUGGAAAUGGUUAAUUUAUGAAGUGCCUUAAGGAGUCUGACAAAGCAGAAAAAGGAGGAGGGUCAAGGGUACAGAUUGAAAAAGAGGCAGAAAAGUGUGGGUGCCUGGGGAGCUGUUAGGAAAGAGACAGUUGGGACCGCAGUCUGGGGACUAUGCCAUUGCCAUUUUGUGUGCCAGGCUGAGCAGUAUAAAGUCUGCACGUAGAACACUUGGUGUCUAGUCUCUAUUCACUAGCUAGGAAACACUGAGCAACUGGGUCCUUAGUUCCUCAUCUCUAAAACUACCAAAUAACAAUAACAAUACCUAGCCUGUCUACCUCACAAGACCGUUAUGAUACCCUACAGCAGUGGGGAGCAAUGGAAGCUUCCCAGGCAAGGGAAGGACAGAGCUGGAGCUCUGCUUAGUAAGGCAAGUGAAUGUAAGCUGGGCUGCUGGAGAGGAAGAUGACCAGGCAGAAGUGUCUGGGAAUGUUAGUGGCUCAAACCAUGGCACUGGCAAUAUGAAGGAACAGGCAAACACAGAAGAUGUGCAGACAAUUCAACAGACGACCAAGUGAUGGGAAGGAGGAUGGGGGAGAGUCAGAGAUGAUCCCAAGGCCCUGAUCUGGAUCGGGAAAGCAGGAGGAAGGAAUGGUAAGGGGGCCAGGAGGGAUCUCUUUGGGACACGCUGUAGAGAGAGACAUGGGGAGUGGGAGGGGGAGCUGGAUCUGCAGGCCUGAUGCUCGUGAGAGGGGUCAGAGUUAGUGUUAUGGGCUAAACUGCAUCCCCCUCAAGUUCAUGUUAGAGACCUAAACCCCAGUACCUCAGAAUGGGACUCUAUUUGGACACAGGGCCUUUAAAGAGGUAAUUAUGGUAAAGUGAGGUCAUAUGGGUGGACCCUAAUCCUACAUGACUAUUGUCCUUCUAAGACAAAAGCAGGACACAGACACGCACAGAGGGAAGACCAUGUGAAAACACCAGGAGACGGCCAUCGACAAGCAGACGAGAGAGGCCCUCAGAAGAAACCAAUCGUGUCACACUUUGCUGUUGGACUUAGAGCCUCCAGAAUUGUGAUGAAAUCAAUUUCGGUUGUUUAAGCCGCCAAGUCUGUGGGACCUUGCGGUGGCAGUGCCAGCAGAGUAACGGAGUUAGUAAUGUACAGGCUGAAGAGCAUCAUGCAGGCGAGCGCUGAAGCUGGGAAAGCAAACAAGGUCACUCAAGGAGAGAAUGAGGGUUUUACUAUCGACAGAGAAGCUCUCAGAGUGCUCUGCUGAGGCCCAGGUGGUGAGAAGGAGCAGAGAGAACACUGGAGGGAAGGGGCUGGCCAGUGCACUGUUGGGGAGGGAGCCAGGGGAGACAGGAACGGCCGCCUGAGAGAGGAAGCAGCAGGGCUGGGGGUUUUCUUCCCGGAGACUGAAGCAAACAGGUGAUGGGCCAAGGCUAGAAGAGAGAGGAAGGAGUGUGAUGGAAAACACAGGUAGUGAAGCUGGUGUUAAGUAAAGACAGGGAGGGUGAAAAUGGGCGGAGAGAGACAUUCAAGUUUACAAGAGACAAGGUGGCUGCAGGAAUGAAUGCUAGCUGACCUCCGCUUUGAACAGGAUGAGCCAGCACCGCCCUCCUCAGAGCGCUCUGUGCCACCAGCAGCACUGGCAUCACCCAAGGCCUGUUAGGAACACAGACUCUCUGAAUCGGAAUCUACAGCUUCAUCAGAGCCCCAGGUGAUUCUGUAAGCUGGGUGGUGACAGGGGUACGGCAAAGGUGUGUGAGGGCAGAGGGCAGAGGGCUGGUUGCAGGCCUUCUCCCAAACAUGCCUUCACUCCCGCCCUCUCUCUCCCUGCGCUCCCUCACCAACAGCCCGAGACCUCUCUUCCAGCUCUCUACGCCUUCCUGCCACUGAGAUUUAAAUGCCUGAAAGCCUCUCUCAUGGUACAUGACACAUUUUAUAUAUGUUAAUUACUAGUAUUUUUAGUGAUUUUCAAAAGAAACUUUAGUGUCUCUCAUAUUGUAAGCAAUCUAACAUUUUGCUCACGCACCCUGUGUGUCUGAAAAGCCUUUACUCCUUGUGAAAAUCCUACCCAUCUUUCAAAGACCAGUUCAAUUUUAAUGUUUGUUUUUUUUUGAGACAGAGUCUUGCUCUGUCGCCCAGGCUGCAGUGCAGUGGCACGAUCAUGGCUCACUGCAGCCUCGACUUCCUGGGCCCAAGUGAUCCUUGCACCUCAGCCUCCCAAGUAGCUGGGACUACAGGUGCAUGCCAUCACGCCCAGCUAGGUUUUUAAUUUUUGCAGAGGCGGUGUCUCCAUAUGUUGCUCAGGUUGGUCUCAAGCAAUCCUCUUGCCACAGCCUCCCAAAGUGCUAGGAUUACAGGUGUGAGCCCUGUACCUAGCCAACUUUUUCUUUAAGACCCUUUCUCUUUCAUUAUUUGAUCAAAAACAAAUCUGACUUUCUCUGAACUUCUGAACAGAAAUAAAAUGAAUCUCCUACUACAUUGACCUAAUCAACACACGUCUCCCGUUCCCUGUCAAGACACCAUGGAGGUGGAUGUUGUGUGAAGAUCCACAGCUGUGUGCUUGUGACUGACCAAGUCUCUGACCCCACGGACCCCAAGUGAGAUGCUUGGCUGCCUGUACCUGCGCACCACAUCCAGCUUGUCCAGGAACUCAUAGACCCGGGCGUGAUAAUAGUAACACUUUGCGGCUACAAGGUCUAGGGCCCGGCGGUUCUGAGUACUGAUCUUCUGCAUCAGAUCAUCAGAGAUCUUCUGUGCCUGGGGAGGAAGCCAAAAGAGAAUCAAGUGGCAGUUCCUCAAAAGGAUAAACAUGGAGUUGUCAUUUGAGCCAGCAAUUCCUAUCCUAGGGACCAUCUCCCCGCCAAACCCCUUGCAUCACUUGGGGCUUAUGAAUCGCUCUCACUGCAUCCUGGAUACCUCUUUGUAGCGCUU